ACAGAGGUGGCAAGCGUUGUUCGGAAUUACUGGGCGUAAAGGGCGCGUAGGCGGUCCCGUCAGUCCCUUGUGAAAUCCCCCGGCUCAACUGGGGAACUGCAAGGGAUACAGCGGGGCUUGAGUUCGGGAGAGGGAAGCGGAAUUCCGGGUGUAGCGGUGAAAUGCGUAGAUAUCUGGAGGAACACCGGUGGCGAAGGCGGCAUCCUGGACCAACAUUGACGCUGAGGAGCGAAAGCCAGGGGAGCAAACGGGA
rnacentral:rRNA from 1 species